GAGGGUAUAGUUCAGUGGUAGAGCGCAUGUUUAGCAGGCAUGAGGUCCUGGGUUCAACCCCCAGUGCCUCCU
rnacentral:tRNA from 1 species